rnacentral:snRNA from 1 species
GUGCCCACUUUGGCAGCAAAUAUACUAAAAUUGGAAUGAUACAGAGAAGGUUCACAAGGCCCCCGAGGAAGGAUGGCAUGUGAUUUUCUGCUGUGUUCCUUCCAUAU